rnacentral:rRNA from 1 species
GACGAACGCUGGCGGCGUGCCUAAUACAUGCAAGUCGAGCGCAGGAAGUCGACGGAACCCUUCGGGGGGAAGUCGACGGAAUGAGCGGCGGACGGGCGAGUAACACGUAAAGAACCUGCCCUCAGGUCUGGGAUAACCACGAGAAAUCGGGGCUAAUACCGGAUGGGUCAUCGGACCGCAUGGUCCGAGGAUGAAAGGCGCUCCGGCGUCGCCUGGGGAUGGCUUUGCGGUGCAUUAGCUAGUUGGUGGGGUAAUGGCCCACCAAGGCGACGAUGCAUAGCCGACCUGAGAGGGUGAUCGGCCACACUGGGACUGAGACACGGCCCAGACUCCUACGGGAGGCAGCAGUAGGGAAUCUUCCACAAUGGACGAAAGUCUGAUGGAGCAACGCCGCGUGAACGAUGAAGGCCUUCGGGUCGUAAAGUUCUGUUGUAAGGGAAGAACAAGUGCCGCAGGCAGUGGCGGCACCUUGACGGUACCUUGCGAGAAAGCCACGGCUAACUACGUGCCAGCCGCCGCCGUAAUAC